GACGAACGCUGGCGGCGUGCCUAAUACAUGCAAGUAGAACGCACAGGUUAUACUGUAGCUUGCUACACCAUAGACUGUGAGUUGCGAACGGGUGAGUUACGCGUAGGUAACCUGCCUGGUAGCGGGGGGUAACUAUUGGUAACGAUAGCUAAUACCGCAUAAUAUCAAUUAUUGCAUGAUAAUUAAUUGAAAGGGGCAAUUGCACCACUACCUGAUGGACCUGCGUUGUAUUAGCUAGUAGGUGAGGUAACGGCUCACCUAGGCGACGAUACAUAGCCGACAGGAGAGGAUGAGCGGCCAGACUGGGAGUGAGACACGCCACAGAGUCCUACGGGAGGGAGCAGUAGGGCAACUUCGGCAAUGGACGAAAGUCUGACCGAGAAACGCCGAGUGCGGGAAGAGGAUUUCCGGGUCGUAGAUCACUGUUGUCAGGGAGGAACGGGUGUGAGAGUGGAAAGAUCACAGUGUGACGGUAUCUGACCAGGAAGGGACGGCUAACUACGUG
rnacentral:rRNA from 1 species